AAAAAUGGAGAACCCCAUCUCCCUAAGACU
rnacentral:tRNA from 1 species